GCCUUUUCGUUCCAGGCUUGGCGGCGCUAGCGGCAGCCCGGGCCGGCUGGGACUGGCGGAGAUCGGCCCGGGCAGAGCGAUCUCAGGACCCGCCGUAUUUCAGUGGCGGGUCCGGGGUCGCACCCAUUAGGCGGCCUGGGAGGGUCCCGGGGGCCGCGCCCCACCGCAGGAGCCAGCGGGGAUGUUGGCCGGAACAAGCGAGGGCAGGAGCAUGCGUGCUGGACUGUAGCGAGGUGGAAAGGAAGGGCUUCAAUUACCUUUGCUGAACUGAAGCUCUCAGGUACCAGUGACCUGGAGGUGGCAAUGCCUGGCGCUUUCUGACAGAAUCUUCUUAGUUCCAUGCUCAGAGAAGGCAAGGUUGAAAGGCAUGAUGGUGGAGGAGGAGGAGGAAAAUGGAUAGUAGAAAGAAAUCAGUGCAGUAAUAGACCAAGUGUGUGAAAAGGUGGGAGAGGAAAAAAAGGCAGAUAUACAGAAUAUGGACAGAUGGUGAGACGCAUUGUCACAAUGUACAAGGAGAACAAAAAUUAUAAAAAAAACCCAGCUAUUUUUAUAAGUUAAUAUGAGCAAAAGAAAAUCAGUACCAAGUUACAAACAAAAAUGGAUAUUAGAGCAAGAAGAAGAAAGGGAGGAAGAAAAUUACAUGAUGUGUUUAUGUUUUAGAAAGUUAUUUAUUCAAUGUGCUGAACCUGUGAUUUAGCAAUGGCCUGGCUCUUUCUAGUAAAAAUAAAAUACUUAGUCUCCUACCCUUUGACCAUGCUCCAGGUUUGACCCUGUGCCCUUUGAACACUGUCACCCUCUUUUUAUAAGGAUUGCUAGGUACAGUAUAAUUUGGAAUUUCCUUUAUACUUAGAAUAAGAUGAAGGUGGUACAUAACAUUUAAAAUUCAAGGGCCCCACACCACAAUAUUUGCUGAAUAUUGUUCUAAGUAUUCAUUUCCUAUAAUUAGCAACUGAGCUUCCUAAAAUGCAGAACAAGAAAAUCUCUUGCAUGCCACGUUAAUGUAUAAUAAAUACAAAUGUCCUUCAGACAGCAUCUUUUGCUCUAUAGGUAUGCAGCUUCAGCUAGCUGCUAAUGGUUUUCUAUUUUACAUGUGACCACCAUCUCAGGCUGUGGGUAGAUAAUCAAGUGGGUUUUGGCUUCCAAAUCAAUUAGAAAGGCAAUAUUGCAAAACUACUGUGGAUCAUGAAACUGAGAACUGGCUUGGCUAGCAAAACGAGGAUGUGAUCCCGUUAAGUACUUCAAUUCACACCCUAAGUUUAAAAAAUUGAUCCCACAUUUCUGACUUAAAAUUGACUAACUUUAAAAUGACACCUAUAUUAACUAAAUACAGAAACAUGACUUUUUUGCUUCAUUUGUGCAUGUGGUGCUUUGUGUACAAUUAGACUAACACUAGUCAGUUUCCUGUUGAUUAGGUUCCUUACAAAGCCACAAGAGAAAAAUUGAAAAAAGUGAUUGUAAAAGGACAAAAAAUAGCUAGUGUGUGUGUGUCUCUCUCUCAGCCAAAAGUAGAAGCCAAAACUGCUUAAAAAUCUAGUCAAUAUGAAAAAUCGAGUUAAAGUUGACAGUGUCCCUUUUAAAAGGCACAAAUACAACAAAAGACAACUCACUUUGAUUGUUACUAACACACACACAAAAAUUACUUAUUGAAAUUGUCAGUUAUCAAGAAACAUACAUGAGUAGAAAUGUAUGAUUUAUAAAAAGUAGCAGCAACAAUGCCAUUCUAAAAGGUUGAGUCUCUGCAUGAUCAUUUAUUUUAAAGAUUAUGCAUCUGUGGUAAAUACAUCAUGUUUUUACAUAAUUUAAUUUUUUAGCUUAUGAUAAUUAUAAACUUCAAUGAAAAGACUUAUUUGUUCCCAAACAUUGCUUUUCCAGUAUAAGCACAUAGGUUUGCCAAGUAAACUGAAGGGGAAAAAGUGCAGUUCUGCUCAGAAAGAUGACUAAAGUGACAGUGAAGUUCAACAUCUGAAUGACUUCCAUAUCAAAUCUGCUCAGUUUACAAGUGAAAGGAUGGCUUUCCCAAAUUGCCAAUGCACUAAACUAAGCUGGGAAUCUGAAAAGUUAAAUUACAUUUUCCUGGUUUGCAAUUAACUAAAGUUCUGCAAAUGAAAUUUAGACCCGAAUGGUGGAAAUACUUAAUUAUGCACAGAUGAGUAAUCUCAGUUAAUUCAAUGAGGAUGUAAAAUUAUUCACAUGACUAAGCAUUUACAAGAUCGGGUUUUAAUUGUGUUAAUGGAUGAGCCACUGAUAGCUAUGUGGGCUUUGUGAUUCUAACAGGAAUAAGUAUUACCAAUAUAUUGGUCACUAAGCAGAUACAAUAAUGCACACAGAUCUACAGAGUAAGAUGGUGCCAUUUUAAGUCAGCCACUUCUCUGUUCUGUCACUGUACUGUAAACUCAGUGUCAAUCCAUGAACAAAAUGUUAGUGAAACUUUAAUUAUUCUUCCUCAUAUUAAACAGCUGUAGCAAUUCUUUGAAAUGCUGCCACAGGUUUUUCCAUAGCGCAAAAAAAAAAAAAAUUAUCACUGUAUUGCACAAUUUGUAAGUGCAGGUUAUGUGCAUAAAAACCAUCUUAAUGUCCACAUGGCAAUUUGCUAAACAUACAUUUAAAACUAUAAUACAAUUUACAAAAUCUUUUAAAACAAUUCUACUCUUAAAAGUAUCCUGAGAAUAUUACAAUGUUUAUUUUACAAGCCCUUCAUUUCUAUGCUUUGUUUAUCCCCUCAGUUGAACAAGUUUAUUUUACAUGAAAUAUUGUUGCUGUAUUUUACUAUUUAUCUUUUAACAAAACAGUAUACCAUUUUCAUUUGAGUAACUAAUCAGCCUCGUAUCUAGCCUAAUUAUAAAUCAAGCUUUCUACAUUUUUGAAAUAGGCCAGGAAAAGUAACGUAAAAUAAUUUCAGAAACAGUUUUAGCUUGUUAAAAAAGAUUCAAAGGCUUUGUGCAUUUUUAAUAUUUUGGUCAGGUAUUUAGGUUAUGCUGUUUACAUUUUGGCAAAAAAGAAAAAGCUCCAAACACCUUCAAUACAUUUUUCUUUGAUUUUUUUAUAUAAUUUGCAACUCUACAAUAUAUUUUAUACAACUAAGGUCAUAAAGUACUUCACUCUUGUAUUUUUAUUUGCUUGUUUUCUUUUUAAAGGUGCUUAGAAAGAUAGACACAAGUAUUGGAAACAAAUUCAGCAUCUUUUGGCUAAAUACAAAAAGUCUCGCUGGAAAAAAUGUAAAAUAUUUGAGUUGCUUCCUCUCUUUACAGUUACUUAAAUAAAUACCCUUUAUCUAAAGAUAAAUUCUAAUUCCUUAUCCUAUACAACACCUGUCUGUAGUUUUGUCUUGUCAAGAUUAAAGCUUCACACAUUAUCUUUACACAGUUUUAUUAGGAAGAUAUCCAUGUAUUUGCAUAUUUUGAAAAGAGGGAGUUCAGGAUUAAAAAUAUAGGCUUUUUUAAAGGUAAGUGCCAUUCUGCUUACAAUGUUUCAAGCUAUAGCAUAGAAAACCCAAGUUAUGGAAUAUCCUUCAGUUUCUUAUACCCUAGGUGAGAGAAAAAGGGCUCAGGUGAGUUGCAGAGGUAACCAGCUUGGAUUCCACAAAUGGGAGGGUGGUGGUUCAUCAUAUCAGUGUCCCAUGGGCCAGUUCCCUCUGUGGUGUAAGCACCUGCUUCAGAGGCAGAGAUUUGCUUAUUUUCUAGACAGAGGGGCAAACUCUUAUUCAUGGCUGCCAAAGAGUAAAAGUUUGUAGGGUGACAAUUGUGGUUGUCAGAGUAAAGGGUUAUCGUGAUAUAAGGUUUCCAUCUGGACCUGGCUUAGGAGAAGGCCAGGUGUUCAGUGUGAGAAAAGUCCAUGCUCUGAACAGAGGAGAGGUUA